rnacentral:misc_RNA from 1 species
AACGCACAUUGCACUCCUUGGUAUUCCGAGGAGUACGCCUGUUCGAGCGUCAUUCAACAUCAAGUCUACUUGGUUUUGAAGUUUGUUCACUCAAACUUUUAAUGACGUCGGUCAAUGAGCCAUAGUGAUGACUCGCUCGUGCUCAUUCGACCUCAACACCUUUUGCAAUCUGUUGACCUCGGAUCAGGCGGGGAUACCCGCUGAACUUAA